GGUGAACGCUGGCGGCGUGCCUAAGACAUGCAAGUCGAGCGGGCCGCGGGGUUUUACUCCGUGGUCAGCGGCGGACGGGUGAGUAACGCGUGGGUGACCUACCCGGAAGAGGGGGACAACCCGGGGAAACUCGGGCUAAUCCCCCAUGUGGACCCGCCCCUUGGGGUGUGUCCAAAGGGCUUUUCCCGCUUCCGGUUGGGCCCGCGUCCCAUCAGCUAGUUGGUGGGGUAAUGGCCCACCAAGGCCACGACGGGUAGCCGGCCUGAGAGGGUGGCCGGGCAAAGGGGAAAUGAGACACGGGCGCCACUCCUACGGGAGGCAGGAGUUAGGAAUCUUCCGCAAUGGGCGCAAGACUGACGGAGCGACGCCGAUUGGAGGAAGAAGCCAUUCGGGGUGUAAACUCCUGAACCAGGGACGAAACCACCGACGAGGGGACUGACGGUACCGGGGUAAUAGCGCCGGCCAACUCCGUG
rnacentral:rRNA from 1 species